rnacentral:rRNA from 1 species
AGUGAACGCUGGCGGUAGGCCUAACACAUGCAAGUCGAACGGCAGCACAGUAAGAGCUUGCUCUUACGGGUGGCGAGUGGCGGACGGGUGAGGAGUACAUCGGACUCUACUUUUUCGUGGGGGAUAACGUAGGGAAACUUACGCUAAUACAGCAUACGCCCUACGGGUGAAAGCAGGGGAUCUUCGGACCUUGCGCGAUUGAAUGAGCCGAUGUCGGAUUAGCUAGUUGGCGGGGUAAAGGCCCACCAAGGCGACGAUCCGUAGCUGGUCUGAGAGGAUGAUCAGCCACACUGGAACUGAGACACGGUCCAGACUCCUACGGGAGGCAGCAGUGGGGAAUAUUGGACAAUGGGCGCAAGCCUGAUCCAGCCAUACCGCGUGGGUGAAGAAGGCCUUCGGGUUGUAAAGCCCUUUUGUUGGGAAAGAAAAGCAGCAGGUUAAUACCCCGCUGUUCUGACGGUACCCAAAGAAGAAGCACCGGCUAACUUCGUG